rnacentral:rRNA from 1 species
UACGGAGGGUGCAAGCGUUAUCCGGAAUCACUGGGUUUAAAGGGUGCGUAGGCGGUCAGAUAAGUCAGUUGUGAAAUACCCCGGCUUAACCGGAGGAACUGCGAUUGAUGCUGUUUGACUUGAAUCAGGUUGAGGUGGGCGGAAUGUGGCAUGUAGCGGUGAAAUGCUUAGAUAUGCCAUAGAACACCGAUUGCGAAGGCAGCUUGCUGGACCUGUAUUGACGCUGAGGCACGAAAGCGUGGGGAGCAAACAGG